UACGAAGGGGGCAAGCGUUGUUCGGAAUGACUGGGCGUAAAGGGCGCGUAGGCGGCCGCCUAAGUCAGACGUGAAAUCCCUCGGCUCAACCGGGGAACUGCGUCUGAGACUGGGUGGCUUGAAUCCGGGAGAGGGAUGUGGAAUUCCAGGUGUAGCGGUGAAAUGCGUAGAUAUCUGGAGGAACACCGGUGGCGGAGGCGGCAUCCUGGACCGGUAUUGACGCUGAGGCGCGAAAGCCAGGGGAGCAAACGGG
rnacentral:rRNA from 1 species